rnacentral:tRNA from 1 species
GGAGAGGCUGUGGCUCAGGGGUAGAAUAUUCACUUGGCAUGCAGAAGGUUCCUGGUUCAAUCCCUGGCAUCUCCA